GGCUUCAUUUAUCCAACAGCAGAUACUGAGAGCCCUCUCUGGAACUAAUUCCAGUUUAUCUGAGCUCAGACACCUGGGAAGGGAACAGUGCUGGGACAAGAACCUUCUAAGGAACAAAUUCUGAGAACAGGAGAGAAACCCUUGAGAUCAGCGCUGAGAGAAAGAAGAGAGGUGGUGAAGGAGCCAGUGUGGGAUGUUGGACAGAUCUGAGCCAAGGAGCUGAGGGACAACAGUGCUGAUGAAAGAGAGAACUGGCAAUAGAAGGUGUCUCUCCAAGCCCA
rnacentral:lncRNA from 1 species